GUAACUUGUAAGCAACCUGCCCGAAAGACCGGGAUAACGUUUCGAAAGAGGCGCUAAUACCGGAUGUGACCGCGAGGAGACAUCUCUUUGCGAUUAAAUCAUUUAUGGCUUUCGGAGGUGCUUGCUGCCUAUCAGCUAGAUGGAGAGGUUACGGCUCACCAUGUCGUCGACGGGUAGCUGGUCUGAGAGGACGACCAGUCACACUGGAACUGAGACACGGUCCAGACACCUACGGGUGGCAGCAGUCGAGAAUUUUUCUCAAUGGGGGAUACCCUGAAGGAGCGACGCCGCGUGGAGGAUGAAGGUCUUCGGGUUGUAUACUCCUGUCAUUUGGGAACAAGUUGCACACGUUAACUGCAUGAGCGUUGAUAGUACCAGAAGAUGAAGAGACUUGUAACUCUGUGCUAUCUGCCGCGAUAAUACAGAGGUCUCAAGCGUUGUUCGGAUUCAUUGGGCGUAAAGCGUGCUUAGGUGGCGCCGUAAGUCAUGUGUGAAAUCUCGGGGCUUAACUCCGAGACUGCAUUUGAUACUGCGGCGCUUGAGGACUGUAGAGGAGACUGGUAUCUACGGUGUAGCAGUGAAAUGCGUAGAGAUCGUAUGGAGGUCCAGUGCGGACGACGUGUCUCUGGACAGUCACUGACGCUUAGUCUCGAAGGCCAGGUGAGCAAGCGUGAUAAGAUAUCUCGGUAGUCCUGGCAGUAAUCUGAGCAUGUGUGGUGUGGGAGAGUUCGACUCUUUCUGCGCCGGAGCUAACGCGUAUAACGUGCCGCCUGGGGAGUACGGUCGCAAGAUUAAAACUCAAAGAAAUUGACGGGGGCCCGCACUAGCGGUGGAGUAUGUGGCUUAAUUCGAUGCAACGCGAAGAGCCUUACCUGGCCGUGACAUGCAUCUUNUUAGUGGUGAAAUCCAGCGAGUCUCGACAGAGACAAUAUGCACAGGUGCGGCAUGGCGGUCGUCAGCGCGUGUCGUGAGAUGUUGGGUUAAGUAAUGCAACGAGCCCAAAGACUGUGACCUGUUGACGGCGAUCCGCGAGGGUCGAGCGUCUCUGUUCAGAGCUGUCCUGUGAAUCGGGGAGGAAGGUGGGGAUGACGUCAAGUCAGUAUGGGCCUUACGUCCAGGGCUGCACGCGUACUACAAUGCUCAGUACAGAGCGAUCCGAGGUCGCGAGGUGGAGGAAAUCUACUAAAACUGGGCUCAGUUCGGAUUGGAGUCUGCAACUCGACUCCAUGAAGCCGGAAUCGCUAGUAAUGGCGCUUCAGCUACGGCGCCGUGAAUACGUUCCCGGGCCUGGUACACGCCGCUCGUCACAUCAUGGAAGUUGCUUGUAGCCGAAGUCGGCGCGCUAACCGCAAGGAGGCAGCCGCCUCAGCUAUGAGCAGUAACUGGGAUG
rnacentral:rRNA from 1 species